AUGAACGCUGGCGGCGUGCCUAAUACAUGCAAGUCGAGCGAACGGACGAGAAGCUUGCUUCUCUGAUGUUAGCGGCGGACGGGUGAGUAACACGUGGAUAACCUACCUAUAAGACUGGGAUAACUUCGGGAAACCGGAGCUAAUACCGGAUAAUAUUUUGAACCGCAUGGUUCAAAAGUGAAAGACGGUCUUGCUGUCACUUAUAGAUGGAUCCGCGCUGCAUUAGCUAGUUGGUAAGGUAACGGCUUACCAAGGCAACGAUGCAUAGCCGACCUGAGAGGGUGAUCGGCCACACUGGAACUGAGACACGGUCCAGACUCCUACGGGAGGCAGCAGUAGGGAGUCUUCCGCAAUGGGCGAAAGCCUGACGGAGCAACGCCGCGUGAGUGAUGAAGGUCUUCGGAUCGUAAAACUCUGUUAUUAGGGAAGAACAUAUGUGUAAGUAACUGUGCACAUCUUGACGGUACCUAAUCAGAAAGCCACGGCUAACUACGUG
rnacentral:rRNA from 1 species